rnacentral:rRNA from 1 species
GGCUGCUGGCAGGUGAUUAGCCGGUACUUAUUCUUUUAAUAAAUUCAAUAAUUUGAAUUAUUAGUUCAAAAUACUUAUUCUUAAAAAAAAGCGCUUUACAGUUUCCCUUAAUCGCGCACGNNCAUUGCUGGAUCAAGCUUGCGCUCAUUGUCCAAUAUUCCCCACCGCUGUCUCCCGUAGAGG